rnacentral:rRNA from 1 species
AAAGUUGGUGGUGAAAUCCCAGAGCUUAACUCUGGAACUGCCAUCAAAACUUUUUAGCUAGAGUAUGAUAGAGGAAAGCAGAAUUUCUAGUGUAGAGGUGAAAUUCGUAGAUAUUAGAAAGAAUACCAAUUGCGAAGGCAGCUUUCUGGAUCAUUACUGACACUGAGGAACGAAAGCAUGGGUAGCGAAGAGGAUUAGAUACCCUCGUAGUCCAUGCCGUAAACGAUGUGUGUUAGACGUUGGAAAUUUAUUUUCAGUGUCGCAGCGAAAGCGAUAAACACACCGCCUGGGGAGUACGACCGCAAGGUUAAAACUCAAAUGAAUUGACGGGGACCCGCACAAGUAGUGGAGCAUGUGGUUUAAUUCGAAGAUACGCGCAGAACCUUACCAACACUUGACAUGUUCGUCGCGACUUUAAGAGAUUAAAGUUUUCGGUUCGGCCGGACGAAACACAGGUGCUGCAUGGCUGUCGUCAGCUCGUGUCGUGAGAUGUUGGGUUAAGUCCCGCAACGAGCGCAACCCUCACUUUUAGUUGCCAUCAUUUAGUUGGGCACUCUGAAAGAACUGCCAGUGAUAAGCUGGAGGAAGGUGGGGAUGACGUCAAGUCCUCAUGGCCCUUACGUGUUGGGCUACACACGUGCUACAAUGGCAUCUACAAUAGGAAGCAAGAUGGCGACAUCAAGCAAAUCCUAAAAAGAUGCCUCAGUUCGGAUUGCACUCUGCAACUCGAGUGCAUGAAGCUGGAAUUACUAGUAAUCGCGGAUCAGCGCGCCGCGGUGAAUACGUUCCCGGGUCUUGUACACACCGCCCGUCACACCAUGGGAGUUGGUUCUACCUUAAGGCAAAGUUUAAAACCUUUGACCACGGUAUAGUCAGCGACUGGGGUGAAGUCGUAACAAGGUAGCCGUAGGGGAACCUGCGGCUG